rnacentral:piRNA from 1 species
UAGUGGCUUUCAUGAUGAUGGAGGGA